GACAUAGGUGGCGAACGUUAUCCGGAAUUAUUGGGCGUAAAGAGCUCGUAGGCGGUUCAGUCAGUCGGGUGUGAAAUCUCCGGGCUCAACUCGGAGGGGCCACCCGAUACUGCUGUGACUCGAGUCCGGUAGGGGAGUGGGGAAUUCCUGGUGUAGCGGUGAAAUGCGCAGAUAUCAGGAGGAACACCGGUGGCGAAGGCGCCACUCUGGGCCGGUACUGACGCUGAGGAGCGAAAGCGUGGGGAGCAAACAGG
rnacentral:rRNA from 1 species